GAAAUGCGAUAGUAAUGUGAAUUGCAGAAUUCAGUGAAUCAUCGAAUCUUUGAACGCACAUUGCGCCCGCCAGUAUUCUGGCGGGCAUGCCUGUUCGAGCGUCAUUUCAACCAUCAAGCCCCCGGCUUGUGUUGGGGACCUGCGGCUGCCCGCAGGCCCUGAAAAACAGUGGCGGGCUCGCUGUCACACCGAGCGUAGUAGCAUACAUUCUCGCUCAGGGCGUGCUGCGGGUUCCGGCCGUUAAACGACCUUCAUAACCCAAGGUUGACCUCGGAUCAGGUAGGAAGACCCGCUGAACUUAAGC
rnacentral:misc_RNA from 1 species